GCAGCGGCAUGUAUGCUGCGAGUAACAUCGUGGACCCAGCACUGGAAACUUGGAGAGCGCCUUUCCACCUCGUCGUACUGUGUAAACGGGGUGAGGCCGUGACCCGCAACAUAAACCACAAGAUCGAGGAGGCCCCAUAAAUGCAGACCCUGUGGAUAUAUGGCUGCAGCAGCAUGGCGUGUGAUCUGGAUGGUCAUGUCAGGGUGCACCGUCGCCCAUUACUAGACGGACCAAAUGAGGCUAGAAACUAGCCUUUCCUCGCUCCUUUCCUGGGAAGUGAAAUAGCAGGAGGUCCCCUUUCAGCCACAUGCUCUAGGACCACCUUCUGUAUACUAGUGUAAGCAUGUAUGUCUCCUCCUUAUUAAAGAAAUAAACUGAAACUCGAUAGAAAUGUUCUAUAGGAAUUUGUCUUUAGGAUCUUAAAUGUAACUGCAUAGAAAUGUUCUAUAGAAAUGUGUCUUUACAGUUCCUAUAAGAAUGUCGUGGCCAAAUAACUUUUAGAACUCUAUAGGAAAAUUCUAUAGGCAAUCAAAAUAUACACAAUACAGUUGUAUAGAACAAAUUCGAAGACUUUCUAAAAAAAACGCAUUAAAAAUGUUUGUAAGAGUACGCUCCUUGAUAUGAUGCGUUGGUUGGCUUG